GCGGGUAUGGUUUAGUGGCAGAACAGCUGGUUGCCAAUCAGCUGGCGGCGGUUCGAUUCCGCCUACCCGCACCA
rnacentral:tRNA from 1 species